GGAAGUGGCCAGUACCCUGCCCAAGAUCACGCAGUGAGUGAAGGCAGAGCCAGGCCUACCUCCGGGCUUCUCCAGACUGCCAGGCCCGGUGCCCAGGCAGUUCUAGCACUGUCAGACUCUGCAGGGUCAAAGAGGGAAGCAACAGCUCAACAGACCAACUGGUCUGACCACCCAGGAGAGGUUUCUAAGGUGACUCACUCAGCAGGAGCCGCUGUCUGCCUUCUUCCUCCCCCACCCCGUGUGGACCUUGGAUUCACAUCAGGCUAAGAGGCAAAGGAGCGAACUUCUCAAGACAAUUCAGAGACUGGAGGCUCCCAAAGCGACUUUGAUGCCGGACUGUAACCUUCCAAACUGGCUUUCAGUGUUCUACAAAGUCCUCCAGGGAUUAGUCUUCAACCAUCAUGAACUAUUUCCUGUGUGACAUCAUCUGCUUUCAUCCAGUGAUGAACUGGAAGCCCUGAGAAGCUGAGGGACUUCUUCAAGAUCACACUGGGAGAAAGUGACAAAGAAGGAAUGUGAAAGGGGUCCUCUUCAUGUGAGACGUUAAGCAAAGGUUGGAUGACUACUUGCACGCUUCUUGUUUUUUUCUUAAUAGUAUUU